UACGUAGGGGGCGAGCGUUGUCCGGAGUUACUGGGCGUAAAGCGCACGCAGGCGGUCUGCUAAGUUUGGAGUGACAGUUGGUGGCUUAACUGCCAAAGUGCUUCGAAAACUGACAGACUUGAGGGCUUCAGAGGGACACGGAAUUCCGGGUGGAGUGGUGAAAUGCGUAGAGAUCCGGAGGAACACCAAAGGCGAAGGCAGUGUCCUGGGGAGUACUUGACGCUCAGGUGCGAAAGCCAGGGGAGCGAACGGG
rnacentral:rRNA from 1 species